rnacentral:rRNA from 1 species
AGCGAACGCUGGCGGCAGGCCUAACACAUGCAAGUCGAACGAACUCUUCGGAGUUAGUGGCGGACGGGUGAGUAAUACGUGGGAACGUGCCUUUUGGUUCGGAAUAACUCAGGGAAACCUGUGCUAAUACCGAAUGUGCCCUUCGGGGGAAAGAUUUAUCGCCAUUAGAGCGGCCCGCGUCUGAUUAGCUAGUUGGUGAGGUAACGGCUCACCAAGGCGACGAUCAGUAGCUGGUCUGAGAGGAUGACCAGCCACACUGGGACUGAGACACGGCCCAGACUCCUACGGGAAGCAGCAGUGGGGAAUCUUGCGCAAUGGGCGAAAGCCUGACGCAGCCAUGCCGCGUGAAUGAUGAAGGUCUUAGGAUUGUAAAAUUCUUUCACCGGGGACGAUAAUGACGGUACCCGGAGAAGAAGCCCCGGCUAACUUCGUG